rnacentral:tRNA from 5 species
GCGAGUGUAGUUCAAUGGUAGAACGACAGCCUUCCAAGCUGUAUACGUGAGUUCGAUUCUCAUCACUCGCUCCA